rnacentral:rRNA from 2 species
ACGGGUGAGUAAUAUAUCGGAACGUACCCAAGAGUGGGGGAUAACGUAGCGAAAGUUACGCUAAUACCGCAUACGAUCUAAGGAUGAAAGCAGGGGAUCGCAAGACCUUGUGCUCCUGGAGCGGCCGAUAUCUGAUUAGCUAGUUGGUGGGGUAAAGGCCCACCAAGGCAACGAUCAGUAGCUGGUCUGAGAGGACGACCAGCCACACUGGAACUGAGACACGGUCCAGACUCCUACGGGAGGCAGCAGUGGGGAAUUUUGGACAAUGGGGGCAACCCUGAUCCAGCAAUGCCGCGUGAGUGAAGAAGGCCUUCGGGUUGUAAAGCUCUUUUGUCAGGGAAGAAAAGGCUGCGGCUAAUAUCUACAGCUGCUGACGGUACCUGAAGAAUAAGCACCGGCUAACUACGUGCCAGCAGCCGCGGUAAUACGUAGGGUGCAAGCGUUAAUCGGAAUUACUGGGCGUAAAGCGUGCGCAGGCGGUUUCGUAAGUCUGUCGUGAAAUCCCCGGGCUUAACCUGGGAAUGGCGAUGGAGACUGCGAGGCUAGAGUUUGGCAGAGGGGGGUAGAAUUCCACGUGUAGC